GACGAACCGUCCAAACGUUAUUCGGUAUCACUGGGCUUAAAGCGUGCGUAGGCUGCCUAAAAGGUGAGGUGUGAAAUCCCUCGGCUCAACCGAGGAACUGCGCUUCAAACCAUUAGGCUGGAGGAAUACAGGGGUAAGCGGAACAGAUGGUGGAGCGGUGAAAUGCGUUGAUAUCAUCUGGAACACCGGUGGCGAAAGCGGCUUACUGGGUAUUUUCUGACGCUGAGGCACGAAAGCUAGGGGAGCAAACGGG
rnacentral:rRNA from 1 species